rnacentral:rRNA from 1 species
UACGUAGGAUGCAAGCGUUGUCCGGAAUUACUGGGCGUAAAGCGUGCGCAGGCGGUGAGCUGUGUCCGAUGUGAAAGCCCCGGGCUUAACCUGGGAAUGGCAUUGGAAACUGGCUCGCUGGAGUGUGGCAGAGGGGGGUGGAAUUCCGCGUGUAGCAGUGAAAUGCGUAGAGAUGCGGAGGAACACCGAUGGCGAAGGCAGCCCCCUGGGCUAACACUGACGCUCAGGCACGAAAGCGUGGGGAGCAAACAGG